UACGGAGGGGGCUAGCGUUGUUCGGAAUUAUUGGGCGUAAAGGGCGCGUAGGCGGUGCGGUAAGUCACCUGUGAAAUCUCCUGGCUCAACUGGGAGCUUGCAGGCGAAACUGCCGUGCUGGAGUGUGGGAGAGGUGCGUGGAAUUCCCGGUGUAGCGGUGAAAUGCGUAGAUAUCGGGAGGAAGACCAGUGGCGAAGGCGGGUCUCUGGACAGUUCCUGACACUGAGGCACGAAGGCUAGGGGAGCAAACGGGAGUUAGAAAACCCUGGUUAGUACCCAGUC
rnacentral:rRNA from 1 species